AUUUUUUCUCUUCUUUUCAAAUCUAGAAGCACGUAUGCUUUUCAAUUUCAAUUUCUCUUCUUUUCUAACUUUUCACUGGUACAAGCAAAGAUUUUUUCUCUUCUUUUCAAAUCUAGAAGCACGUAUGGAUAAACACCACAAUUUUCCACCUUUUUCCCUUCCCCUCAAGACAGAACAAUUUUUGCAAUUCUUCCUUCUCUUUUCUUAUUAUUAUAAGCUGGUUUUUUUCCAUGGAUCUACUUCUUUUGUUUGUGGUUCGCAAAGUUUUUAAGAGAUGAGUUUUUGAUUUUUGUCUGCUUUUUCUAUUUCCAUUUGUUCAUGUUGAUGGGUUUUUCGAUUGUCUGUGUAGGGUUUUUGCAUCUAUACACUCUUUUGUGUUUUAUCUUUCCAUUCUUUUUUUUUUUUUUGGUUUUGGUUGUUUGCUUUUUACUUGGAGAUACUGAUUUGUUUCCCUUUUUACUUUGUUACAGGUUGCUUUGACCUUCGAAGCCAUUGAUUCACCUAGCCUUGAGUGGGGAUCCAGGUUACGAAACCAAGGUGGUUGUGAGGAUAUGUCUUGAUGAUGAUAUUGACAUGUUCCUAGCAUUGUUGGUGAUGGAUGGUUCUUGCAUGAUAGAGUAAUUGUAUGACAAUUCAUUGGAACCCUCAUGAUGUUCAGGUAAUCAAUUUUUAACUGGUUUUCAGAACUUUUCCAAGAAGUUUUUUUUUCAAAAUGUCCCCCCUUGCUAUUGACAGGUGAUUUUGAGGCUAAUUAUUAAUAGAUUUUAAAUUUAUUAAGAGGCUGGUUUCUAGAAGUGUUUUUCAAUUUCUAGCUUUGGGAAAGUCAGUGAUUGGUGGGUAAUUGGACGAGUCCGCGAGUUUAGGUUAGUUGGUUUGAAUUGUUAUGAGUAGUUUACGAAAGUUAAUGCUAAUUUAAAAUGUAGAAAUCUGGAAGAAAUUCUGAGCUUUUUAUUGGGACUUGAUAUGUUAGAAAUGAUUAGAAAUUGGAUAAAUCACUAGCUGUUGUUUAUGAAAUUUGCUGGUGCUCUAUGUAAAAAAAAGAAGAAGCCAGAUUGGUCUCCAUUCCAUGAUAAUGUUCAAUGUGUUUGCUUUGUCUAUCUUCAUGCCAGAUUUCAAUGUUUAAUUCAAAAAUCAUAUGAAGUUGGUCAUGAUCAUGGUCAUAUUCACUGUACAAAGAACAAUUUCUGAUUUCAUAGUAAUGAUUGGUGAUGUUCCAGCGUGUAUCUUUAGGAAAUAGUUUGAGAAUUUAUAAAAUUAGAUUGGGUUCAAAGUUGUUAUAACAUAAACAACAUUUUAAGUUACAGUUGGUGGGGAAGGAGAUUGAUUAUGAUCUGUAUUGCACCUAAGAAAACGUCAGGAACUGCUGUUCCUACAAUGAAUAACAGAAAUUGCAAUGUUCUGGGCUAGCAGAUUUCUUUCUUCUUAAAUUUUGCCCUUAGUGCUUCACUCUAUUGGAUCAGUUGGUCACCUCUAAUAACUUGCUGCAUUGGGAUACUAAACUUGCUGAAAUGACAUAAACCAUGCUUUCAAACUCUACUUUGAUUAUUUUUUCCAGUGGAGAUGAUUGCAAGCAAAAUCUGUGAUUCAUGGUGCGCUAGGAUAUCCAAUCCUUUUUUUUUUCUAAGAGUCAUAUGAAGAAAAUGCGCAAUUAAGUGCACAAUGCUUUAUGCAGCAUUUGAAAGCUAAGAUUUGAUGCUUCUAUAUGUGCAAUCCAUUAUAUUUACCACAUGUUCAUCCUAUUUUACAUCAGCAAGUUUGUCCUUUCCUCACUCUUCUUCUUCUUCGCAUAGGACUCGGUUCCUAUAGAUAAAGAGCAUACAUGAAACAUGCCUUUGGUAAAGAUACUAAAAUAUAUGUAUAAAGUCAUGUUAAUCACAUGAUGAUGACAGGCUUGGCUUGCGCAAAAUUAACCACAUGUUUUGAACAAAAUUUUCAUUUUGUUAGUUUUAAAUGAAUACUUUAGUUGUUUGCUACUUUGAAUAGUCAGAAUACAUUUUUUUUCCUUGCCUGGUUAAUAGCUCCUAUCAGGGUUAUCAAUGCAUUCAUAAAGGCUAAUCAUUGUGUUUUUUUUUUAUAUUCCAUUUAUUUUAUACAUCUAUUCUUGAGAUGUUUGUGCCAAUAUUUUACUCUACAAAUUAUUGUUAUCAUUCAAUUUCUCAACAAAUUGUCCCCUGUAACUCAUUCGAUCAAUUAAAAACAUCUCUCUUAUGUUCACAUCUAUACAUCAUGCUAUAUUUCUCAUAUUUUCUUGCUUAAAGCUACCUAUAUAUAUGUGUGUGUGUCCCACACUUUUCUUUACAGCUUAUUAUAUUAGAGGACUUUAUGACUUCUGACAUAAUUUCUCUAAUUUUUUUUUUAUAGAACUUCAAAAUAAAAUUUUCCAUUGUUAUUAAGUUUUUUCACCUUUUAUCGGUAUACAACAAUUGUAAAAAGAAAAACAAAGAAUAAACAAUGAAAAAAACAGUUUAAUUAUUCUUAUAAUGACACGAUACAAUCAAUGACCCACAGGUUCUUCUCUCAUUAUAUUUUAUGCAAAUUAACAUUAACAUUAAUUAACAAUUAACAAAGAAACUAAAUCAUUUUUUUUGCUUCUGCAUUAUUAAGUAAAUUAGUGGGCCAGUACGCAUUAAAUAUUUUCUAUUUGCUGGCAGCAUACCCUUUGUUUUCUUUUGAAUCUGCAUUGUUAAUUAAAUUAGUGGGUCAAUAUGCAUUAAAUGCAUCCUAUUUGCUGCAGUAUUAAUUAAAUAGGUGGGCCAGUACGCAUUAAAUAUUUUCUAUUUGCUGGCAGCAUACCCUUUGUUUUCUUUUGAAUCUGCAUUGUUAAUUAAAAGUAGUGGGUCAAUAUGCAUUAAAUGCAUCCUAUUUGCUGCAGCAUUAAUUAAAUUAGUGGGCCAGUACGCAUUAAAUAUUUUCUAUUUGCUGGCAGCAUACCCUUUAGUUUCUUUUGAAUCUGCAUUGUUAAUUAAAUGAGUGGGUCAAUAUGCAUUAAAUGCAUCCUAUUUGCUGCAGCAAAUACGCUGCAUAGCAACCAUGCUCAAGGGAGGAUCUCUAGACGUUCUGAUACUACUAUACUAGCCCGACGGCGGGCACUAUCAUCAUGACAUAUAUAUGGUCUCUGUUGUUAAAAUUAUUUUUUUUCAUUGAAGUGCAUCUAAAAAUAUAUUAUAUGCUUUGUCUAUAUCCGGUCUCUGUAUUUCUUUGCCCACCAGUUAUUGCACUCUCUUUUCAUCUUUCUCCAUUGCCUCUCUUGCUGGUUGUUGCACCAUCAGUUUAGUUUUUUUCCCUCUUUUCAUUGCCUCUCUUACUAUUUUUUUUUAGUUUGUUUUUUUAUGCAUCCAUAAUUAAUCUGUGUGGUUCCUUUGUUUUCAGCAGAUUUGUUGAGCUUUUCUAGCCUUCUUUUCGGUUGGGUUGCUGCUUUGUUCACGUUAACGCUUGCUUGCCUUACGCUGCUGGUAUGUGCAUGUAUUAUUGGUCUGCAAGAUUAAUGGUUGUCUUCUUCUUGCUAUGUUGAACUGUGAGACCAGCUUCUCUUUUUUUUUUUUCCAUUUGUUUUUUAACCAACCAGCAAGGGUGUUGCUUGCUAAGAAAUUGUAUUCAAAUUCGUUUCUGCUGUAUUUUCUUCCCUUUUGAUGGUUGUUGAAUUUGUGCUUUAGAUUCCCAUCUUUAUUUAUUUAGCCAAUUCAUGUUGCAAUUUAUAUUUGUUCUUUU
rnacentral:lncRNA from 1 species